AGCUUUGCGCAGUGGCAGUAUCGUCGUAGCCAAUGAGGUUUAUCCGAGGUGCGAUUAUUGCUAAUUGAU
rnacentral:snRNA from 1 species